rnacentral:lncRNA from 13 species
AUGUCUCCUACAGCGCACACAGGACAUGUCUCCUACAGGACACACAGAACAUGUCUCCUACAGGACACACGGAACAUGUCUCCUACAGCGCACACAGAACAUGUCUCCUACAGCACACAUGGAACAUGUCUCCUACAGGACACACAGGACAUGUCUCCUACAGGACACACGGAACAUGUCUCCUACAGCACACACGGAACAUGUCUCCUACAGGACACACGGAACAUGUCUCCUACAGGACACACGGAACAUGUCUCCUACAGCACACACGGAACAUGUCUCCUACAGCACACACGGAACAUGUCUCCUACAGGACACACAGGACAUGUCUCCUACAGCACACACAGAACAUGUCUCCUACCCAGAUUAGUUCCCGGAGCCUGCAACACAGCACACACGGAACAUGUCUCCUACAGGACACACAGGACAUGUCUCCUACAGCACACACGGAACAUGUCUCCUACCCAGAUUAGUUCCCGGAGCCUGCAACACAGCACACACAGAACAUGUCUCCUACAGCACACACAGGACAUGUCUCCUACAGCACACACAGGACAUGUCUCCUACAGCACACACGGAACAUGUCUCCUACAGGACACACAGAACAUGUCUCCUACAGCACACACGGAACAUGUCUCCUACAGCGCACACAGAACAUGUCUCCUACAGCACACACGGAACAUGUCUCCUACAGCACACACAGAACAUGUCUCCUACAGCACACACAGAACAUGUCUCCUACAGCACACACGGGACAUGUCUACUACAGGACAUACGGAACAUGUCUCCUACAGCACACACAGAACAUGUCUCCUACAGCACACACAGGACAUGUCUCCUACAGCACACACAGGACAUGUCUCCUACAGCACACACGGAACAUGUCUCCUACAGCACACACAGGACAUGUCUCCUACAGCACACACAGGACAUGUCUCCUACAGCACACACGGAACAUGUCUCCUACAGCACACACAGAACAUGUCUCCUACAGCACACACGGAACAUGUCUCCUACAGCACACACAGGACAUGUCUCCUACAGCACACACAGAACAUGUCUCCUACAGCACACACAGAACAUGUCUCCUACAGGACACACGGAACAUGUCUCCUACAGCACACACAGAACAUGUCUCCUACAGGACACACAGGACAUGUCUCCUACAGCACACACAGAACAUGUCUCCUACCCAGAUUAGUUCCCGGAGCCUGCAACACAGCACACACGGAACAUGUCUCCUACAGGACACACAGGACAUGUCUCCUACAGCACACACGGAACAUGUCCCCUACCCGGAUUAGUUCCCGGAGCCUGCAACACAGCACACACGGAACAUAUCUCCUAUCCAGAUUGGUUCCCAGAGCCUGUAACACAGCACACACGGAACAUGUCUCCUAUCCGGAUUAG